rnacentral:rRNA from 1 species
GACGAACGCUGGCGGCGUGCUUAACACAUGCAAGUCGAACGAAGUGGCGAACGGGUGAGUAACGCGUAAUCAACCUGCCCUUCAGAGGGGGACAACAGUUGGAAAGGACUCCUAAUACCGCCUACUGACGGCGGGGUUUGCGUGUGAUUAGCUCGUGGGAGGGGUAAAGGCCCACCAAGGCGAUGAGCAGUAGACGGUCUGGGAGGGUGAACGGGCACAUUGGGACUGAGACACGGCCCAGACUCCUACUGGAGGCAGCAGUGGGGAAGCUGCCGCAAUGGACGAAAGUCUGACGGAGCAACGCCGCGUGAGUGAUGACGGCCUUCGGGUUGUAAAGCUCUGUUAAUCGGGACGCGGUACCGGAAUAGAAAGCCACGGCUAACUACGUGCCAGCAGCCGCGGUAAUUC